AAUAAAAAGAAAUGUCCAUACUAAAACUCAACGCAUGAAUGUUCAGAGCAAUUACUGGGAAAUACAGAUGACCAGCAGAACACAGUGGUGCAUGCCUGUAACUCCAGGAUGAUCUCUUUUGGUGGUUGGUUGCCCCUGGAUGUCCUGGAACUCACUUUGUAGACCAGGCUGGCCUCAAACUCAGAAAUCUGCCUGCCUCUGCCUCCCAAGUGCUGGGAUUAAAGGUGUGGAUGUCUCGGGUGCUCCGCAGGGGCAUGGUUGGUCGGGCUGCACUCACAAAACGCUGGUAGAAGCGGACCAGCCGCGGUUUCCCAUGGUUGUUGAAAACCAGAAUCGCCUGAAUCAUCUUUACCGGUCCCGCUUCUCUCGGCACCAGCGGCUCCAAGAAUGCACCUUCUUCCGGCACAACA
rnacentral:lncRNA from 1 species